rnacentral:rRNA from 1 species
UACGGAGGAUGCGAGCGUUAUCCGGAUUUAUUGGGUUUAAAGGGUGCGUAGGCGGCUUUUUAAGUCAGCGGUGAAAUUUUGCAGCUUAACUGUAACAGUGCCGUUGAUACUGGGGAGCUAGGAUUUGGUUGCUGUGGGUGGAAUGUGUGGUGUAGCGGUGAAAUGCUUAGAUAUAACACAGAACACCGAUUGCGAAGGCAGCUUACUAUGCCUUUAUUGACACUGAUGCACGAAAGCGUGGGGAUCAAACAGGAUUAGAUA